GUUAAGUUCAUGUUGAGAGUCUUUGAAAUAUAUUCAGCAAACCCUCCUGAGUGUCCAUCUAUCUCUCCAUCCAUUCAGUUUAGGCUGGUAUCUGCAUGUUGAGGAUCCAGGGUCUUGAUGGAUUAUAAGCCACCGCAAGAGUUCCUACUUCUGACAGGCCCUCAAAAAGCUUUUGUAACAUACUGUACAGUUCUCUUCCUUUACCCAACUUUGGACACAAAGAAGCCGUUAUUACCAAGACUUGUCUUCCUGCCUAAGGAGGACUCACUGCAAGCUCAAGUUCUCGAGGACCAUACAAGGCGAGCAGCUGUAUCAUUCCUCAACGGUAAACAGGGCACUCCAAUCAACUUGCCGACCUGUG